AGUGAACGCUGGCGGUAGGCCUAACACAUGCAAGUCGAACGGCAGCACAGUAAGAGCUUGCUCUUACGGGUGGCGAGUGGCGGACGGGUGAGGAAUACAUCGGAAUCUACUUUUUCGUGGGGGAUAACGUAGGGAAACUUACGCUAAUACCGCAUACGACCUACGGGUGAAAGCAGGGGAUCUUCGGACCUUUCGCGAUUGAAUGAGCCGAUGUCGGAUUAGCUAGUUGGCGGGGUAAAGGCCCACCAAGGCGACGAUCCGUAGCUGGUCUGAGAGGAUGAUCAGCCACACUGGAACUGAGACACGGUCCAGACUCCUACGGGAGGCAGCAGUGGGGAAUAUUGGACAAUGGGCGCAAGCCUGAUCCAGCCAUACCGCGUGGGUGAAGAAGGCCUUCGGGUUGUAAAGCCCUUUUGUUGGGAAAGAAAAGCAGCAGGUUAAUACCCCGCUGUUCUGACGGUGCCCAAAGAAUAAGCACCGGCUAACUUCGUG
rnacentral:rRNA from 1 species